GGAUUAGAUACCCUGGUAGUCCACGCUGUAAACGAUGAUCACUCGAUGCAUGCGAUAAACUGUAUGUGUCCAAGCGAAAGCGUUAAGUGAUCCACCUGGGGAGUACGAUCGCAAGGUUGAAACUCAAAGGAAUUGACGGGGGCCCGCACAAGCGGUGGAGCAUGUGGUUUAAUUCGAUGAUACGCGAGGAACCUUACCUGGGCUUAAAUGUACGAUGAUCGUCUGGGAAACCAGUCUUCCCUUCGGGGCAUCAUACAAGGUGCUGCAUGGCUGUCGUCAGCUCGUGUCG
rnacentral:rRNA from 1 species